GAUUUACUUUCAAGUUAUUAAUGC
rnacentral:siRNA from 1 species